rnacentral:lncRNA from 1 species
AAGAAGUUCUUUGGAAGGCAAGAGUUCCCAUGAAAUUGAUCAAACAUAAUGCGGAUAUCUCCUUUUAACAUGUCCCAAAACUUUUUCAAAAAAGCAAAAUUAAAACCAUCCGGUCCCGGACUUUUAUUACCAUCACAACCUUUCACCGCCUCUUCGAUUUCUUCCAAUGAAAAGGGAGAAAUAAGACCCGUAUUAUCCG